CUUUUUCGAAUGCGAUGGCCGUUAGUCCGUGUUGACGCAAUGUUACUUCAGCCCAGUGCUCUGCAUGCGAACGAGAAUAGAUUAAUCAAAGCACGGGUAAACGGCGGGAGUAACUAUAACUCUCGUUUCCUAUGGCAUGCACGCCUUGGACUUCGGGAUGAGAGCAGAUAGUUACUUGGCUAAGCGCAAAGUCGAACUCCCACCUGCACAUGGUGCCCGCCGCAGGACUAGUGAACCUAAAGGGGGUGCAUUCCUGGUGAACUCGUCCUCAACGGGAGCUGUUGCAUCCUUUGGUGGGGCCAUCCCCCGCCCCGCCAUCCUGCUUGGCCCAAAGGAGGGAAGUACUUUUCCAAAGAUGCUGACCGAGUGCUCGGCGUUCUAGGUCUGUAGAGAAUGGGCUUUGCUGUACACAAUGACGCUGAGGGGUUGACCCGAGAUCCCCCUUGGCUGAUGGCCGAGAAGGGAAAGGACUGGACGAAAUCGGAGGACCCGUCUUGCUCUUGCGGCAUUACGAAGGGGCCCAGUGCUCUCACCCGUUGCACACGGGGUAAUUUGGGUUGCUCUGCCCCAACAUCGCAGAGUAGGUUUCUCUGCACCAACGUCACAGAGUGAUAAUCUUGCUUCUCUAAAAGGUUUCAGGGAGUAACGUCAGAAGGCCUUGAAUCGCCCUGUCUAUCCGUAAGUGGGCUCGCUACCGGCGCUGCUUGUAUGGGUUUUGGUACCCCUCGAGUUGGGCCUGCCCUGCCUCUUCUGGGUUGAGUGAAAAACCUAGCCCAUGUAACAUCUCUGUUGGCAGGGGACCGCCUAGGGCCCUCAUCUUGGCCCAGUGGUUUCGCGGCACUCUUGGAGAAACAGGCGGUUGCCAAAAAUGCCUACGUCAUCUAAUUAAGUGCCGCGGCAUGAAUGGGAGUAA
rnacentral:rRNA from 1 species